rnacentral:misc_RNA from 1 species
GAAAUGCGAUAAGUAAUGUGAAUUGCAGAAUUCAGUGAAUCAUCGAAUCUUUGAACGCACCUUGCACUCCUUGGUAUUCCUUGGAGCAUGCCUGUUUGAGUAUCAUGAAAUCUUCAAAGUAAAUCUUUUGUUAACUCAAUUGGUUUCUACUUUGGUAUUGGAGGUCUUUGCAGCUUCACACCGGCUCCUCUUUGUUCAUUAGCUGGAUCUCAGUGUUAUGCUUGGUUCCACUCGGCGUGAUAAGUUAUCUAUCGCUGAGGACACUGUAAAAGGUGGCCAAGGUAAAUGCAGAUGAACCGCUUCUAAUAGUCCAUUGACUUGGACAAUACUUUUAUGAUCUGAUCUCAAAUCAGGUAGGACUACCCGCUGAACUUAAGC